GUGGUGCUGCGGCAUUACGUCAGGGUGAUUUUCCCUGGGGCCGAUACUCAUCCUUAAGGGAGCUGUCCCUGCCAUGACUUGCGGGUUUUGGCAUAUGGCGCCCACCUGCAUUUGCGGGCCACGUGAGGAUAUAGUCAUCCAACGAUUGUUGCGGCCCACUU
rnacentral:other from 1 species